GGUCGAGUCGGCCUGCGCGGAAGAUGUAACGGGGCUAAACUAUGCACCGAAGCUGCGGCAGCGACACUAUGUGUUGUUGGGUAGGGGAGCGUUCUGUAAGCCUGUGAAGGUGUGUCGUGAGGCAUGCUGGAGGUAUCAGAAGUGCGAAUGCUGACAUAAGUAACGAUAAAGCGGGUGAAAAGCCCGCUCGCCGGAAGACCAAGGGUUCCUGUCCAACGUUAAUCGGGGCAGGGUGAGUCGACCCCUAAGGCGAGGCCGAAAGGCGUAGUCGAUGGGAAACGGGUUAAUAUUCCCGUACUUGGUGUUACUGCGAAGGGGGGACGGAGAAGGCUAUGUUGGCCGGGCGACGGUUGUCCCGGUUUAAGCGUGUAGGUGUGUGUUCCAGGUAAAUCCGGUUCACUUUAACACUGAGGCGUGACGACGAGGCACUACGGUGCUGAAGCAACAAAUGCCCUGCUUCCAGGAAAAGCCUCUAAGCAUCAGGUAACAUCAAAUCGUACCCCAAACCGACACAGGUGGUCAGGUAGAGAAUACCAAGGCGCUUGAGAGAACUCGGGUGAAGGAACUAGGCAAAAUGGUGCCGUAACUUCGGGAGAAGGCACGCUGACACGUAGGUGAAGUGAUUUACUCAUGGAGCUGAAGUCAGUCGAAGAUACCAGCUGGCUGCAACUGUUUAUUAAAAACACAGCACUGUGCAAACACGAAAGUGGACGUAUACGGUGUGACGCCUGCCCGGUGCCGGAAGGUUAAUUGAUGGGGUCAGCGCAAGCGAAGCUCCUGAUCGAAGCCCCGGUAAACGGCGGCCGUAACUAUAACGGUCCUAAGGUAGCGAAAUUCCUUGUCGGGUAAGUUCCGACCUGCACGAAUGGCGUAAUGAUGGCCAGGCUGUCUCCACCCGAGACUCAGUGAAAUUGAACUCGCUGUGAAGAUGCAGUGUACCCGCGGCAAGACGGAAAGACCCCGUGAACCUUUACUAUAGCUUGACACUGAACAUUGAGCCUUGAUGUGUAG
rnacentral:rRNA from 1 species